rnacentral:lncRNA from 10 species
CCCGGGGCGCAGCGCGCACGCAAUCGCGUUUCCGGAGAGACCUGGCUGCUGUGUCCCGCGGCUUGCGCUCCGUAGUGGACUCCGCGGGCCUUCGGCAGGAAUCUAGAAAACUGUAUCUGAAGUUGUUCCUACCUGAAGCCGUUGCAUUGAGAGGUGCUAAGUGGAUCCUCUGGCCAGCUGACUGCACUUCUUUUUUGAGAAAGGAAGGAAUAUAUCCUGACUGAUUAUAGGGUCUCACUAGGUCACCUAAGCUGAAGUACAGUAGUGGUGGCACUAUCUUGGCUCACUGCAGCCUCGACCUCCUGGGCUCAAGCAAUCCUCCCACCUCAGCCUCCCGAGUGGCUGGGACUAUAGCAGCCCUAGCAAACCAAGAGUGAGCCACCUUGGAAGUAGAUCCUGCAGUCCCAGUCAAGCCUUCGGAUGACUGAAACUUCGGCCAAUUAUCUGACUGCCAUCAGAGAACCCAAGCCAGAACUACCCAGCUAAGCUACUUCUAAAUUCCUGACCCACAGAAACUAUGUGAAUUAAUAAAUGUUUCUUCUUAUUUU